UGAUUGGUGAGUCAAACGGGCUAUUAAAAUAUAAUGGAGUGUAUGAACCAACAUAGAUUUUAGACCAUUUAUGACUGUUCAGGGCAUCUCUUCCUUGAUCUGUUUGGGUUAACCAUCUUCUUCUUUCACAAUAGCAACAGCGGCAGCGACCCGCCCACAAAGCUACUUCCGUUUUGGGCACUUCACACAAGGACCUCGGGGAAAAAGACAUGGGUUCUUGAAGCAGCCACAGAAGACCAUCUUGCCUUCAAGCGGUUUUCAGAAGCCAUCGAGAUGGAAACAGUGGAGGGUCCUUGGUGCGGGAGGUGAUAUGAUCAGCAGGAGGUGUUAUGACACCGCAGGGCCCUCGGGGGCCCGGCCCCAGGAAUUGGACUGGACUGAUCUGCUGCCCACAGGACGGCUGCUA
rnacentral:lncRNA from 1 species